rnacentral:rRNA from 1 species
GACGAACGCUGGCGGCGUGCCUAAUACAUGCAAGUUGAGCGAUGAAGAUUGGUGCUUGCACCAAUUUGAAGAGCAGCGAACGGGUGAGUAACGCGUGGGGAAUCUGCCUUUGAGCGGGGGACAACAUUUGGAAACGAAUGCUAAUACCGCAUAACAACUUUAAACAUAAGUUUUAAGUUUGAAAGAUGCAAUUGCAUCACUCAAAGAUGAUCCCGCGUUGUAUUAGCUAGUUGGUGAGGUAAAGGCUCACCAAGGCGAUGAUACAUAGCCGACCUGAGAGGGUGAUCGGCCACAUUGGGACUGAGACACGGCCCAAACUCCUACGGGAGGCAGCAGGAGGGAAUCUUCGGCAAUGGACGAAAGUCUGACCGAGCAACGCCGCGUGAGUGAAGAAGGGUUUCGGAUCGUAAAACUCUGUUGGUAGAGAAGAACGUUGGUGAGAGUGGAAAGCUCAUCAAGUGACGGUAACUACACAGAAAGGGACGGCUAACUACGUG